CGAACGCUGGCGGCGUGCUUAACACAUGCAAGUCGAACGCGAAAGGGACUUCGGUCCUGAGUAAAGUGGCGCACGGGUGAGUAACGCGUAGAUAACCUGUCUUCAUGUCUGGAAUAAUACGCCGAAAGGGGUACUAAUACCGGAUAUCUUGCUUUUCAUAAGUUAUGCAAGCAAAGGUGGCCUCUGCAUAUGCUACUGCAUGAAGAGGGGUCUGCGUACCAUUAGCUAGUAGGUGGGGUAAUGGCCUACCUAGGCGACGAUGGUUAGCGGGUCUGAGAGGAUGAUCCGCCACACUGGCACUGGAACACGGGCCAGACUCCUACGGGAGGCAGCAGUGAGGAAUAUUGCGCAAUGGGGGAAACCCUGACGCAGCGACGCCGCGUGAGUGAGGAAGGCCUUCGGGUCGUAAAGCUCUGUCAAGAGGAAAGAAGUGUACAAUGGCUAAUACCUGUUGUAUUUGACGGUACCUCUAAAGGAAGCACCGGCUAACUCCGUGCCAGCCGCCGC
rnacentral:rRNA from 1 species